CACGUAGGGCGCAAGCGUUGUCCGGAAUUAUUGGGCGUAAAGAGCUCGUAGGCGGUCUGUUGCGUCCGCUGUGAAAACUCGGGGCUUAACCCCGAGCCUGCAGUGGAUACGGGCAGACUAGAGGUAGGUAGGGGAGAAUGGAAUUCCCGGUGUAGCGGUGAAAUGCGCAGAUAUCGGGAGGAACACCGGUGGCGAAGGCGGUUCUCUGGGCCGUUACC
rnacentral:rRNA from 1 species